UAACGGCGAGCGAACUGGGAAGAGCUCAUGGCGAAAUCCGCCGUCGUUGCGACGGUCCGGAUAUUUCGCGUAUAGGAGAGACGCUUCCGAACGCCGACUCCGGUGUAAGUCCCCCUGACUGGGGCUCCUACCCCGAGAGGGUGCAAGGCCCGUAGCGGCCGGCGUCGGCUUCGGAUGUCCUCUCCGGGGAGUCGGGUUGCUUGAGAGUGCAGCCCCAAUCGGGUGGUAAACUCCAUCUAAGGCUAAAUACGACCCGGAGACCGAUAGCGAACAAGUACCGUGAGGGAAAGUUGAAAAGGACUUUGAAGAGAGAGUUCAAGAGUACGUGAAACCGUUCGAAGGUAAACGAGUGGGCCCUCGAAGCCGUAAGGCGGGGGGACUCAGCCGGGCGCCUCGGGCCCGCCGCCGCACGCGCGCUUCCCCACCGGGACGCGCCGCGGCGGAAUCGGCUCGGGUUCCCGGCGCAUUUCCUCCCGCCCUCGGACGCUGCGACCGGUCGCGCGUGCCACGAGCGGUCGGCCUUACUCGCGGGGACCGGCAGGUAGCGGGGACCGCGCUUCGGCGCCUUCCCCGUGUUUAGCCACCCCGCGGUCGAGAGCCGUUCGCGCGACCGAAGGACUUGGCCCUCAGGGGCCUCUCCGCGCCUUCCCACUC
rnacentral:rRNA from 1 species